UCCCAUUCCCAAGCCAAGGAAACAAAACACUCCACCCAACGCUCCCGAUUCCCCACCCCACCUCGAGCCGCCACCCACCUUCACACCUCGCCGCCGGCAAUGGCGAAUGCUCUGCCCCCCACCCUCUCCUCUCCCCUCCCCUUCCCCUUCCCUUCCCCUCAUCAGAAGAGAAGAGAAGAGAAGAGAAGAGAAGAGGGAGACCGAGCACGCUGGUUCCAGAUUGCCCACGGGCAUCAAGGGCUUCAUCCCCGCAAUCGCGGCCAUGGCGCUCCCGACGCAGCUCGAUCCAGGACCUUCCCCGAGGGUCCUCCACGGGCUCCCCGCAGCUACAAGUGACGGCGGCGGCGGAUGCGACUGGAACCCUACCUAGCCGACGCGGCUCGCUCACCGGCGCCGCCGCUCGUGCUCGUCUUCCUCGGCGCCAGACUCAUCACCAACAAGGACGCAGCCUCCUCUCCGGCGUCAGGGAUGCCGCUGGAGCCCCAAGGCGCUACUGCUACACUUGAGGCUGAUUGGAAUGCUAAGUUUGCACGGCAUGAGCACAAGCACACAGAAGAUGCCGGGGCCUUGAAAAGUAUUAUUGCCUGCUGGCUGGGCUGACGCUCUUCCUAGAGCUCCGCAGAUGCCACUAGGAAUAAACCGAUUGCUCGUGUGUGGAAGGCGUGCUUGACCGCAGGCCACGCGCCCUCGUCACCUUGCUGCCAACGGAUUUGGCAUUACCUGGCCAUUAGGCUCCCUGACCCGGCCACUAGAAGCUCCCCGCUCCUCUCCCGGUGGCAGUGGUUUCUCCGACUCCUGCCGCUGCCAACCUAGCUGGUCUCACGGUGCCUGGCCAUUUCUUCGAGAACCAUCAUUUGUACUCCCUCCGUUCCAAAAUAGAUGACCCAACUUUAUAGUAAAGUUAAUACAAAGUUGGGUCAUCUAUUUUGGAACGGAGGGAGUACUAGUGAGUCAUGCUAAUAUUAGGAUUUACAGUCAAACAAUAACACUAAAAAAACUGUUGUGGGUUCUACACGAGAACCUUGUAAAUGCUUCAGUUUUGGGAAGAGAGAAUCAGUGCAUGAUUAGGCACAAUCUUCUUGGUAGUCUGCCGAUGUUGUGAUUGUUAUGUUGUAUAUGAAUACUUAAUUUGGAUGUUUGCCAAAAUGAAGUGACAAAUACACGUAUUUUAUAGUGUGCAGUUCUUGGGAGUUCAACUGAAGUUUCUAUCUUUAAGAGAUCAUCCAUAAACAUUCACAUAACCAUUAUUAUUAAGAGAUGUAGCUGCACUUGUGUACCAAAUAUUCAGGUUUUGGAAAAUAAGUAGAAGUCGAGGACUAUUGCUUCAGGUUGUGCAAACUAACCAUAUAAGCAUAGUAGUGCUCUGUUUUCUAUAUAACCUGCAAGUCGACUAGUAGUAUAGUAGUGAUCAUUUGUUUUAGUAAGGUACUUGCACUUAGGACGGUAAAUAGGAUGAAUAUUAUUUUAUUAAGAGAUUAAUUUUUCCUUGAUAUAGCAGUAACUUUUAAAUGACUAGCUAAAUCAUAUGACACAUGCUCUGCUUCUCA